rnacentral:lncRNA from 13 species
AAACACUGUACCUUAGGACCACCAUACACCAGACAUCUUCCACUAUACACCUUAGGUCCAUCAUACACCAGGCAUCCUCCACUAUACACCUUAGGACCACCAUACACCAGACAUCUUCCACUAUACACCUUAGGACCACCAUACACCAGACAUCUUCCACUAUACACCUUAGGACCACCAUACACCAGACAUCUUCCACUAUACACCUUAGGUCCAUCAUACACCAGGCAUCCUCCACUAUACACCUUAGGACCACCAUACACCAGACAUCUUCCACUAUACACCUUAGGACCACCAUACACCAGACAUCUUCCACUAUACACCUUAGGACCACCAUACACCAGCCAUCUUCCACUAUACACCUUAGGACCACCAUACACCAGACAUCUUCCACUAUACACCUUAGGACCACCAUACACCAGACAUCUUCCACCAUACACCUUAGGACCACCAUACACCUUAGGACCACCAUACACCAGACAUCUUCCACCAUACACCGUAGGACCACCAUACACCUUAGGACCACCAUACACCAGACAUCUUCCACCAUACACCGUAGGACCACCAUACACACUCCCUAGCAUUCUUCUCGCCAAUGUCCAGUCUCUUGACAACAAGGUUGAUGAAAUCCGAGCAAGGGUAGCAUUCCAGAGGGACAUCAGAGACUGUAACGUUCUUUGCUUCACGGAAACAUGGCUCACUGGAGAGAUGCUAUCGGAGGCGGUGCAGCCAGAAGGUUUCUCCACGCAUCGCGCCGACAGAAACAAACAUCUUUCUGGUAAGAAGAGGGGCGGGGGCGUAUGCCUUAUGGCUAACGAGACAUGGUGUGAUGAAAGAAACAUACAGGAACUCAAAUCCUUCUGUUCACCUGAUUUAGAAUUCCUCACAAUCAAAUGUAGACCGCAUUAUCUACCAAGAGAAUUAUCUUCGAUUAUAAUCACAGCCAUAUAUAUCCCCCCCAAGCAGACACAUCGAUGGCUCUGAACAAACUUUAUUUGACUCUUUGCAAACUGGAAUCCAUUUAUCCGGAGGCUGCAUUCAUUGUAGCUGGGGAUUUUAACAAAGCUAAUCUGAAAACAAGACUCCCUAAAUUUUAUCAGCAUAUCGAUUGCGCAACCAGGGGUGGAAAAACCUUGGAUCAUUGUUACUCUAACUGCCCCGCCCUCCUUUCGGAAAAGCUGACCACGACUCCAUUUUGUUGAUCCCUGCCUACAGACAGAAACUAAAACAAGAGGCUCCCACGCUGAGGUCUGUCCAACGCUGGUCCGACCAAGCUGACUCCACACUCCAAGACUGCUUCCAUCACGUGGACUGGGACAUGUUUCGUAUUGCGUCAGAUAACAAUAUUGACGAAUACGCUGAUUCGGUGUGCGAGUUCAUUAGAACGUGCGUUGAAGAUGCCGUUCCCAUAGCAACGAUUAAAACAUUCCCUAACCAGAAACUGUGGAUUGAUGGCAGCAUUCGCGUGAAACUGAAAGCGCGAACCACUGCUUUUAGUCAGGGCAAGGUGACUGGUAACAUGACCGAAUACAAACAGUGCAGCUAUUCCCUCCGCAAGGCUAUCAAACAAGCUAAGCGUCAGUACAGAGACAAAGUAGAAUCUCAAUUCAACGGCUCAGACACAAGAGGCAUGUGGCAGGGUCUACAGUCAAUCACGGACUACAAGAAGAAAUCCAGCCCAGUCACGGAUCAGGAUGUCCUGCUCCCAGGCAGACUAAUUAACUUUUUUGCCCGCUUUGAGGACAAUACAGUGCCACUGACACGCCUGCAACGAAAACAUGCGGACUCUCCUUCACUGCAGCCGAGGUGAGUAAGACAUUUAAACGUGUUAACCCUCGCAAGGCUGCAGGCCCAGACGGCAUCCCCAGCCGCGCCCUCAGAGCAUGCGCAGACCAGCUGGCCGGUGUGUUUACGGACAUAUUCAAUCAAUCCCUAUACCAGUCUGCUGUUCCCACAUGCUUCAAGAGGGCCACCAUUGUUCCUGUUCCCAAGAAAGCUAAGGUAACUGAGCUAAACGACUACCGCUCCG